rnacentral:rRNA from 1 species
ACGCUGGCGGCAGGCCUAACACAUGCAAGUCGAGCGGAUGAAGAGAGCUUGCUCUCUGAUUCAGCGGCGGACGGGUGAGUAAUGCCUAGGAAUCUGCCUGGUAGUGGGGGACAACGUCUCGAAAGGGACGCUAAUACCGCAUACGUCCUACGGGAGAAAGCAGGGGACCUUCGGGCCUUGCGCUAUCAGAUGAGCCUAGGUCGGAUUAGCUAGUUGGUGAGGUAAUGGCUCACCAAGGCGACGAUCCGUAACUGGUCUGAGAGGAUGAUCAGUCACACUGGAACUGAGACACGGUCCAGACUCCUACGGGAGGCAGCAGUGGGGAAUAUUGGACAAUGGGCGAAAGCCUGAUCCAGCCAUGCCGCGUGUGUGAAGAAGGUCUUCGGAUUGUAAAGCACUUUAAGUUGGGAGGAAGGGCAGUAAAUUAAUACUUUGCUGUUUUGACGUUACCGACAGAAUAAGCACCGGCUAACUCUGUGCCAGCAGCCGCGGUAAUACAGAGGGUGCAAGCGUUAAUCGGAAUUACUGGGCGUAAAGCGCGCGUAGGUGGUUUGUUAAGUUGGAUGUGAAAGCCCCGGGCUCAACCUGGGAACUGCAUUCAAAACUGACAAGCUAGAGUAUGGUAGAGGGUGGUGGAAUUUCCUGUGUAGCGGUGAAAUGCGUAGAUAUAGGAAGGAACACCGAGUGGCGAAGGCGACCACCUGGACUGAUACUGACACUGAGGUGCGAAAGCGUGGGGAGCAAACGAGGAUUAGAUACCCUGGUAGUCCACGCCGUAAACGAUGUCAACUAGCCGUUGGGAGCCUUGAGCUUCUUAGUGGCGCAGCUAACGCAUUAAGUGACCGCC